rnacentral:rRNA from 1 species
UAAUCGGGAAUCACUGGGCGUAAAGCGCACGUAGGCUGUUUGGUAAGUCAGGGGUGAAAUCCCGCAGGCUCAACGUGCGGAAUUGCCCUUGAUACUGCUGGACUUGAGUUCGGGAGAGGGUGGCGGAAUUCCAGGUGUAGGAGUGAAAUCCGUAGAUAUCUGGAGGAACAUCAGUGGCGAAGGCGGCCACCUGGACCGAUACUGACGCUGAGGUGCGAAAGCGUGGGGAGC